rnacentral:rRNA from 1 species
AUGUGAUCGUCUCUCGCAUAUCAAUAAGCGGAGGAAAAGAAACUAACAAGGAUUCCCCUAGUAACGGCGAGUGAAGCGGGAAGAGCUCAAAUUUGAAAUCUUAAAGGGUUUCCCUUUACGAAUUGUAGUUUAAAGAAGUGUUUUCUGUUGAGGUUUUGGUAAAAGUUCUUUGGAAUAGGACAUCAUAGAGGGUGAGAAUCCCGUAUUUGACCUUUACUUUCAACUUUGUGAUACACUUUCAAAGAGUCGGAUUGUUUGGGAAUGCAGUCCAAAAUGGGUGGUAAAUUUCAUCUAAAGCUAAAUAUUGGCGAGAGACCGAUAGCGAACAAGUACCGUGAGGGAAAGAUGAAAAGAACUUUGAAAAGAGAGUUAAACAGUACGUGAAAUUGUCAAAAGGGAAGCGUUUGACACCAGUGUUGUUUUUCUGAAAAUCAAUUAAAGAACUGUUUAUGCUAAGCUGUUUAGACUUUAUCAGCUAACUGUUUAGUUUUGAGCUUUUCUUUAAUGCACUUUUCAGUUAACAAGUCAACAUCAAUUUCUUUUGCUGUAAAAAAGCUUGAGGAAGGUGGCUUGAGAUUCGUCUUAAGUGUUUAUAGCCUCUUGCCUAUGCAGUCGGAGAGAUUGAGGUCUGCAGCGUAGAUCCUUCGGGGCUAAAUGCAUUUGUGCUAAGUUAUAGCAUUUUAUAGACAACUUGUUGACUAUGAUUUGUCUUGUAGCUUACUCGCUUAUGUUAUUUUACCUACGCUUAGGAUGUUGAGUAGCGACAUACGCAC